UACGUAGGUGGCAAGCGUUGUCCGGAAUUAUUGGGCGUAAAGCGCGCGCAGGCGGUUUCUUAAGUCUGAUGUGAAAGCCCCCGGCUCAACCGGGGAGGGUCAUUGGAAACUGGGAAACUUGAGUGCAGAAGAGGAAAGUGGAAUUCCAAGUGUAGCGGUGAAAUGCGUAGAGAUUUGGAGGAACACCAGUGGCGAAGGCGACUUUCUGGUCUGUAACUGACGCUGAGGCGCGAAAGCGUGGGGAGCAACAGG
rnacentral:rRNA from 1 species